AGUUACACGUUCAUGUAUUGUUGCCUGAAAUGCACCCGAAAAGUCCGACAGAGCUCUAGAGUGAAGCAAAGGAAACAAAAUAAUUUGCAAAACUACUCCGUGCUCGGUACUGCUAGGUGGUGUUAGCGGACACACAGGAUCGCCUAGUGCGGUCAGCUCCACGUGACGGUGUAGACGAUGGGAAUUCAUGAACGCUUGGUCUUUGCACAAUUGAGCGACGUGACGUCCAUUGAAAUACUAGUAGCGGAGUUCUCGGCACGUCAAAUUUUAGCUAAUACGGUCGCGGAGAGAAGUGUUCAUUGCGGGCACAUGUAGUGCGUGUGCAAGAAGCGAGUGUGCAAAUCUGCAGCCGAUCCCACUGUACGCUAGCGAGAGCCGUGAUUGUGUCGUGAGGCCAUCAUGGCAGCCAAAGGAAGAAUCGCUAUCAAGUAUCAUCAUCGCCCGCGUCCUAGCUUUGCUUUCAAUAAAGUCUUCCUGGGCAUCAUCGCCGCGAACGGACGCGUCACGGACAAUUUCUUCGACACGCAAGUGUGCAUCUAUAACCAGGUGGAUGCAGCAUGUCGAUACGCUGAAGCGGUCGGAGCUCUAAGUCUGGUCUUUGGUGUUUUGUUAGCGUUCAGCCUAUAACUACUUUCUCAUCUUGCUAGAGAUCGAGGAGGAUCGCAUCAAGACGUUCUGGUGUCUAUCAUCGUUGCGGCGUUCAUGACGUUUGCCUCGCUGGUUUGCUUUGGAGUUCUUGAGGCGCUUUCGACAAAGUCCUCCUGGGCAUCAUCGCCGUGAACGGACGCGUGACGGACAAUUUCUUCAACACGCAAGUGUGCAUCUACAACCAGGUGGAUGCAGCAUGUCGAUACGCUGAAGCGGUCGGAGCUCAAGGUCUGGUCGUUGGUGUUUUGUUUGCGUUCACCGACUUUCUCAUCUUGCUAGAGAUCAAGGAGGAGCGCAUCAAGACGUUCAACCUGGUGUCUAUUAUCGUUGCGGCGUUCAUGGCGUUUGCCUCGCUGGUUUGCUUCGGAGUUCUUGAGGCGAUGCUUGCAGGAAUGGGCGGCCGACAACCCUCGACAGGAGCGCGUUGUCCGUGAACUCAUGAGUCAACGAUGCUGCUGUGUCGGGACAGAGCGCCAUUGCUUUGUGCUUCAUAGGAAUGGUGUCUUGGGUAAGGGACAUCAAGCAGAGGAGAGAUUAUCUAUAUGCUUUGUAUAACUAGCGGAGGGUGACUGUGUGCACUGGCAGUGUACUGAGAGUACUCAAUACGGUGGACAUAGAGUAUGUAACACAGAACCCAUAGCAUACAUAACAUGAAACUCAGAGUUAUAGGAAAACCUGGGACUAACGACCACCCCUUGGGGCCAGAGAAAGUGGUCUUUAGUGGCAGGUGGUCCUUAGUUAGAGGUUUGCACCGCACCACCUUAUAAUAAUGAAUGUGAGACCGUCCGUGCCUGGUGAUGUGGUCUAUAGUAGUACAUGCCUUGUGCCUUGUAACGGGUGCAUGCCGGUCUAAAUGGUUUUAUCAUGAAUGAAGUUAUUGUACUUAUCUAUUUUCAUCUUCUCUAUAUUUAUUUGCUUUGCUUUUUCGUUAACUGAUUUGCCAGUGAUGUGAUCUAUUCGUAUUGCUCGUAUAAGAGAUUUCCAGGAGAUUUUUCGUAUUCUGCAUUGCCUUCCAACUUUGAGUGGAGCGGCGAAUUGCUUUGCUGUUCUUGGGUCCGUGAUCCGACCACGGUUGGUUGCUCAUGGAGCACACUCAGCAUUGGAUUAUUUCUUUGCACGAUGUUGGAGGUUAUUCGAAUGUGAUUGGAGGAUUAUAUAA